rnacentral:rRNA from 1 species
UCUGGCGGCAGUAGCGCGGUGGUCCCACCUGACCCCAUGCCGAACUCAGAAGUGAAACGCCGUAGCGCCGAUGGUAGUGUGGGGGGUCUCCCCAUGCGAGAGUAGGGAACUGCCAGAC